rnacentral:rRNA from 1 species
CUACGUGCCAGCAGCCGCGGUAAUACGGAAGGUCCAGGCGUUAUCCGGAUUUAUUGGGUUUAAAGGGAGCGUAGGCUGGAGAUUAAGUGUGUUGUGAAAUGUAGACGCUCAACGUCUGAAUUGCAGCGCAUACUGGUUUCCUUGAGUACGCACAACGUUGGCGGAAUUCGUCGUGUAGCGGUGAAAUGCUUAGAUAUGACGAAGAACUCCGAUUGCGAAGGCAGCUGACGGGAGCGCAACUGACGCUUAAGCUCGAAGGUGCGGGUAUCAAACAGGAUUAGAUACCCUGGUAGUCCGCACAGUAAACGAUGGAUGCCCGCUGUUGGUACCUGGUAUCAGCGGCUAAGCGAAAGCAUUAAGCAUCCCACCUGGGGAGUACGCCGGCAACGGUGAAACUCAAAGGAAUUGACGGGGGCCCGCACAAGCGGUGGAGCAUGUGGUUUAAUUCGAAGCAACGCGAAGAACCUUACCAAAUCUUGACAUAC